GAUGAACGCUGGCGGCGUGCCUAAUACAUGCAAGUAGAACGCUGAAGGAGGAGCUUGCUCUUCUGGAUGAGUUGCGAACGGGUGAGUAACGCGUAGGUAACCUGCCUGGUAGCGGGGGAUAACUAUUGGAAACGAUAGCUAAUACCGCAUGACAACAGUUAUUGCAUGAUAACUGUUUAAAAGGGGCAACUGCUCCACUACCAGAUGGACCUGCGUUGUAUUAGCUAGUUGGUGAGGUAACGGCUCACCAAGGCGACGAUACAUAGCCGACCUGAGAGGGGGAUCGGCCACACUGGGACUGAGACACGGCCCAGACUCCUACGGGAGGCAGCAGUAGGGAAUCUUCGGCAAUGGGCGGAAGUCUGAACGAGCAACGCCGCGUGAGUGAAGAAGGGUUUCGGAUCGUAAAGCUCUGUUGUAAGAGAAGAACGAGUGUGAGAGUGGAAAGUUCACACUGUGACGGUAUCUUACCAGAAAGGGACGGCUAACUACGUG
rnacentral:rRNA from 1 species